rnacentral:lncRNA from 1 species
UUGUAAAAUGAGAUUAUAUGAUAAUAAUUGGAGGAUAUUAAGCAUGCUACUAUAUGUUGAUGUGUUGAACAUGAAUUAAGUUAAGCUAAAGCAAGCUAAUGUGUAUUAAGAUGAUGUAUUUGAGUUCCUAUAACUUUUAUUUGAGAAAUAUGAGUGAUAUGUCAAUAAGCAUUGCUGUUAGUUUUCGGGUUGGACAGAACAGUAUGUUUCGGGGUACUUUUGAUGAUGUUUUCGUAGUCCAAAUAACUUGAAAUUUUUACUGUAAUAACUUCAUCAUGUGUAGUCGUUCUCUGCAAAAUUUCAGCUAAAUCCGAGACCAUUAGAUAUGCUAAAUUAUUUUCUAAAAUGUACUGCGCGAAAGCAGCGAAGUUCAGUGGCAGAUUCUGCCUUUUGUGAUAUAACUUCCCAUACACUUGAUGUAUUGUAUUUUUGUAACUUUCUAAUAAAAAUAUACUUCUGAGAGAUUUCUAAAAAUGUAAAGCUUGUAUGUUUCUUUAAAGAGGUUGAUUUUAUAGGAUAUUUCAAAGUUGAGAUUCAUAUAUGACAAUAUAUUUGAAGUUACUUACUUGGGAUAGUUGAGUAAAACUAUGCUCAAGUCAUUGGUCAAUUCUUGAAUUGAUGUUUUAGUUAUUAAUUGUAAGCUAAUCUAUAUAAAAUGGGUUAGUUUACUCUUACUUUUUCAACUUGAGAUAUCCCAAGAGAUAUGAUGUUACUGUUUGCUUUUGGUUAAUUAAGUAGAAUAUUCAGAUUAGAGGAUACAACUCUAAAGUUUCAAGUGAUAGAAGUUUCAUUCAAGAUUUACUUUCUACUUACUUAUUAUCCAAUCUUACCUUGGGAACCUCAUUAUAAUGAAGGUUCGAGUGGCAGUGUAGAAUGAACAAGCAAGGACUUUUAAUUCAUUAAGCGUAUCAGGUGGGCUUACUAACUCAAGAGAUAAAGAUGCAUACUUUAAUACAAAGUUUGAGUGUAUGCAUUUGUUUUCAGAUUAUUGACUUGCCAAUGUUUGAGAUUUGUAUGAUACCAUCUACAUAGAACAACGAAUUCGGGUCCUGAGCGAGUCAGGAUUUGUGUACACAGAGUUGACAGUUAACCUUGGAGUUAGCUUGUCAUCGUGUUUGAGAAGGAGGCCUACUUCUCAACACUUAAAGUUAUAUGAUGCGUAGAUAUAUAUGGUACAUACAUGUUAAUUGUCUGCAGACGUAUAUGAUGUUAUGAUGAUUAUAGAGAAGUUUUACAGUUUUGCAUGCACAUGUUAUUUAAAUAAAACUCCUGUGAUGCUUGAGAUGGCAAGUUCAAUAUAUAGCUCUAAGAGCAAGCUUUAAAGUUAUUUCGGCAUGACCACUGAGUGCUUUUUGUUACUCAGCCCUGCCUAUGUUUCUAAAUAUGCAGGUUAAGCUGUGGUGCAGAUGGAAGUGAGCAGAGCAAAUUCUUUGAUGUAUAUGUAUUAAACCAGGCUCAGGAUUCCAUGUCUUCAUACAUGUAAUCCACAUGAAUUAUUUCGCUGCAACACUUAGUCUAUUCUACUUUAUUGAUGUGUUGUACAUAUUUUAAAUCAAUAGCUUUGAGAAAUAUGUCACUUGAAAGUUAGACAACUUGUCGUUGUGUAUUGUAAGUUGUCUACUCGUGAUUUUUAAAAGUGAUUGUAUAUGAUUACCAGACUUUUUGGUAAAUUAUUGUUUAAGCAGGUUAGUAAUUUUUAUUGACAUCUA